rnacentral:rRNA from 1 species
UAAUCGGAAUUACUGGGCGUAAAGCGCACGCAGGCGGUUUGUUAAGUCAGAUGUGAAAUCCCCGGACUCAACCUGGGAACUGCAUCUGAUACUGGCAAGCUUGAGUCUCGUAGAGGGGGGUAGAAUUCCAGGUGUAGCGGUGAAAUGCGUAGAGAUCUGGAGGAAUACCGGUGGCGAAGGCGGCCCCCUGGACGAAGACUGACGCUCAGGUGCGAAAGCGUGGGGAGCAAACAGGAUUAGAUACCCUGGUAGUCAAGGGCGAAUUCGC